rnacentral:sRNA from 1 species
AGUGCAGUGGUGUUUACAACUCAUUGAUCACAACCAGUUACAGAUUUCUUUGUUUCUUCUCCAGUCCCACUGCUUCACU